rnacentral:rRNA from 1 species
UUGGAGGGCAAGUCUGGUGCCAGCAGCCGCGGUAAUUCCAGCUCCAAUAGCGUAUAUUAAAGUUGUUGCAGUUAAAAAGCUCGUAGUUGAAUUUCGAGAUCGGCUUACUGGUCGUGCUUUUGUACGUACUGGUAUAAUCGGUUUCUCCUUUCUGACGAACUUUAAUGCCAUUAAUUUGGUGUUUUAGGGAAUCAGGACUGUUACUUUGAAAAAAUUAGAGUGUUUAAAGCAGGCUCACGCUUGAAUACAUUAGCAUGGAAUAACGGAAUAGGACGUUUGAUUCUAUUUUGUUGGUUUCUAGGAUCGACGUAAUGAUUAAUAGGGAUAGUUGGGGGCAUUAGUAUUCAAUUGUCAGAGGUGAAAUUCUUGGAUUUAUUGAAGACUAACUACUGCGAAAGCAUUUGCCAAGGAUGUUUUCAUUAAUCAAGAACGAAAGUUAGGGGAUCGAAGACGAUCAGAUACCGUCGUAGUCUUAACCAUAAACUAUGCCGACUAGGGAUCGGAUAAUGUUAAUUUUUUAAUGACUCAUUCGGCGCCUUACGGGAAAC